rnacentral:piRNA from 1 species
UGAGGAUUCCUAAGGAAAAAUAACCUA